GCAUGGGAGGAGAGCGUGUGUGUGUCUUUGGGGGGAGAUGGAACUUGUUGUCCCCAAACCAUGUUUACUCAUGGUAUGCACUGCAGAUAAACAAGGCCCAUCUUCUUUGCUGACCAUGCAAAACCUUCCCUGCCAAGAGCAGAUUGUUGGCCUCGACCUUCUCAUCUGGGCAUCCACUUCUGAAGGGCCAAGAGUGAAACAAACUCGCAGGGAUUUACACGGCGCCUGCACCUUGAGAGGGAUGCAAAGGGCCCUCUGAGGAACCCACCAGAGGACGAUCCCGUCGCCGACGGCUUUGAAGAGGUCAUCUGUAUUUGGGUUCAUGGGGAUGACGUGCCUGCAAUCCGCGUCGUUUUCCAGGGCUUUGUUUAUCCAGUUCACAAAGGCGUAUUUUUCUUCCUCUAAAAGAAGGGAGCGGAUUGUUUAGCUCCAGAAAAACCAGCCCAACAUGACGCAAUAAUACCUGAGUAGGAAUGCUGGGUCCCUUCGCUGGAGAGUUCGGACGUCCCGCCGAUGGCACAGAUCCCUUCUUUCCUGUUGAUGGC